CCUACGGGAGGCAGCAGUGAGGAAUAUUGGUCAAUGGGCGCGAGCCUGAACCAGCCAAGUCGCGGGAGGGAAGACGGUCCUAUGGAUUGUAAACCUCUUUUGUCGGGGAGCAAAAGACGCCACGCGUGGCGUUCCGCGAGUACCCGAAGAAACAGCAUAGGCUAACUCGGUGCCAGCAGCCGCGGUACUACGGAGGAUGCGAGCGUUAUCCGGAUUUAUGGGGUUUAAAGGGUGCGCAGGCGGAAGAUCAAGUCAGCGGUAAAAUUGAGAGGCUCAACCUCGUCGAGCCGUUGAAACUGGUUGGCUUGAGUGAGCGAGAAGUAUGCGGAAUGCGUGGUGUAGCGGUGAAAUGCAUAGAUAUCACGCAGAACUCCGAUGGCGAAGGCAGCAUACCGGAGCUCAACUGACGCUCAGGCACGAAAGUGUGGGGAGCGAACAGGAUUAGAUACCCGAGUAGUC
rnacentral:rRNA from 1 species